rnacentral:rRNA from 1 species
AUUGAACGCUGGCGGCAUGCCUUACACAUGCAAGUCGAACGGCAGCAUGGGUGCUUGCACCUGAUGGCGAGUGGCGAACGGGUGAGUAAUGCAUCGGAACGUACCCGGAAGUGGGGGAUAACGUAGCGAAAGUUACGCUAAUACCGCAUAUUCUGUGAGCAGGAAAGCGGGGGAUCGCAAGACCUCGCGCUUCCGGAGCGGCCGAUGUCGGAUUAGCUAGUUGGCGGGGUAAAGGCCACCAAGGCAACGAUCCGUAGCGGGUCUGAGAGGAUGAUCCGCCACACUGGGACUGAGACACGACCCAGACUCCUACGGGAGGCAGCAGUGGGGAAUUUUGGACAAUGGGCGCAAGCCUGAUCCAGCCAUGCCGCGUGAGUGAAGAAGGCCUCGG